UAGGGAAUCUUCGGCAAUGGACGAAAGUCUGACCGAGCAACGCCGCGUGAGUGAAGAAGGUUUUCGGAUCGUAAAACUCUGUUGUUAGAGAAGAACAAGGACGUUAGUAACUGAACGUUCCCUGACGGUAUCUAACCAGAAAGCCACGGCUAACUACGUGCCAGCAGCCGCGGUAAUACGUAGGUGGCAAGCGUUGUCCGGAUUUAUUGGGCGUAAAGCGAGCGCAGGCGGUUUCUUAAGUCUGAGGUGAAAGCCCCCGGCUCAACCGGGGAGGGUCAUUGAAAACUGGGAGACUGGAGUGCAGAAGAGGAGAGUGGAAUUCCAUGUGUAGCGGUAAAAUGCGUGGAUAUGUGGAGGAACGCCAGUGGCGAAGGCGGCUCUCUGGUCUGUAACGGACGCUGAGGCUCGAAGGCGGGGGGGGCAAACAGG
rnacentral:rRNA from 1 species